rnacentral:rRNA from 1 species
UACGGGGGGGGCAAGCGUUGUUCGGAAUUACUGGGCGUAAAGGGCUCGUAGGUGGCCAACUAAGUCAGACGUGAAAUCCCUCGGCUUAACCGGGGAACUGCGUCUGAUACUGGAUGGCUGGAGUAUGGGAGAGGGAUGCGGAAUUCCAGGUGUAGCGGUGAAAUGCGUAGAUAUCAGGAGGAACACCGGUGGCGAAGGCGGGUCUCUGGGCAACAACUGACGCUGAGGAGCGAAAGCGUGGGGAGCGAACAGG